UCUUCAAACAAGUUAAGUUGUAAAAGCAGCUUUUCAAUUGUCACUAUUUAGGAUCACUUGGCAGGCAAUUAGGGUUAUAGGUUCACAUGGGACCAAAAUGAAAUCAAACAAGAAUUUAUUGCAGAUUUAAGUAAUGAUAAGAGUUUACUCUAUUCCUUUAAGCAUUUAGGAUAAAAUGGGAAACCAAGCGAGAACAUACAUGGAAAGAAGCAGGAAAUUAACCCACAACCUUUAUGACUUGGAUCUUGCCAAAUGUUCGGUCAGGUGAAUUUCUUUACUUCUGCAUAUUUGGUUCAGAAGAGCCAUACAUUCAGUAGAUUCAUGCUACGUUGUUUAGUUAAAUACUGCAGGUGGAAUUUAUAUGUUCUUUAAGGUUUCUUAUUUAUUUCUUGUUGUACUUCCUAUUGAUUUUUCACAUCAACAGAAAAAGUAAAUAUUGCGUGCAUGUUUAGCUGUAGUUCGUUUCUGCUGUCAUUAAUUGUCAAUUUUUUUAACCAUAACUUAGUACUUCCAAGUAAAAAAACAACUGUCGAAAACUGAAUCCUGUUCUCACAGGAAAACUCACAUCAAGUGGCAGAUUGGAUAAGCUAAUAUUUUCUGUCUAUCCAAGUUUGGUGAUUUUAACAAGGGAAAGGGGGAAAAUAUACUUCUCAACUUGUGAUUUAGAGCGGAUAUACCACUUGUUUAAAAAGUGGUGGUAUUUAG